UCCGCCAACUGUGCCAACGGCAUCUUUCUUCUUUAACUUCACGCUCCCGCCGCCGCCGCUGCUGCCUCCUGCCGCCCCUCAGGAACACCACUGAGACAUAGGAUCCCUCUUCUUUUUCCCUCCUCCCCGGCAAGAGGAGGAGACUGCCGGAAACACGGCUUCUAUCCCUCCGGAUGAGGCAAGGGUACCCACGCCGGCGUAGGAACAAGCGUUCAGCUGGAAGCCUCUGCCGCUCAGUAAAUCUAACCUCAGCGCCUGACUUGUCCCGCGGCAGGGGCUAUUACUCACUCCACUUCCGCUCCCAACAUGGCCGCGUCCGAGCCGUACCUGCCUGUCAAACGGAGGUUGACUGCGUCAUUCCCGAGGGCGGGACUGACUCAGCCAAUCAGUUGCCGUCUCAGGUAGUAAGGGGACCGACUCACGGCGGUGGGAUCUUUUCACGGAGGGGAGGGGGCGCGAGAGUAGGCUUGUUGUGGGGGACUCCGGAUACGUGAAGGUUCCGUCACGUACUCGAGCGAGAUACGCUGCAGGAGCAAAAGUUGGUAGAUGUAGGUCCUCCCCAUGUUACCCUCACAACAAUCCUGUAUUAAAAGAAACUACAAUUGUGCUAUUUUUUGAAACAUGCUUACUACAAUCUAUACUUCAGAAGAUUUUGACCAAAUAAUACAACAUUCUACAGUAUUGUCAAAGUUCACCUGAGCUUUUAAAGAAGAUUCUGUUGCUUGUUAGUGUUUGGGGAUAAACUCCUCCCCUUUUUAAUUUACAUAAACAUAAUUUGGAUUAUUAUGUUUGGAUUAAUGUUUGGAUCAUGUUUGGAUUAUGGAAGCAGUUUGUUUCUUCUGGUGUGUUGUGUAUUGUGAAAAAGAAAGUUUACUGUCAAUCCAUUUAUAUGGACCUCAGCUAUAUUUAAAUCAAGUUUGACUUUCAGAGAGAUUGUGACAAGUGUUAAACUGAAAAGGUUACAUCAGCAGGGGGCAUUACAUCAGUUCUUACCCUGUUUUUUAUCUGAGUUAAACUCAAAGUAAAUGAACUUUGUCAAGUAUAAUUAUUUAAGAAGUUUGUGAUAGAAGGGGGAACAUGAGUUCAUGAGGCAUAUGUGCAUGACUUUUUUUUUUAAUGAACACUGCUCAUGAAGAGUAUAAAAAUAGGGAUCAACUAUGAUAUCUUAUUUACAAUUUACACAGUCAUUUUAGCAUGUGAGUGGCUUCCUCUGUUCUUGGCUCCUUGAAGUAUAAUUGACAUCCACCAGGAAUUUAGAAUUUCUGCCAGGAUGUUCUGAUGUAAUUUUGAGAAUGUGGAUGUGGGCGGGAUUGUUCAGCCACAAAUGGGAGAGUUAGAAUAAAGGUCAUUUGAAUAAACAAGGCUGUUCUACUCUCAUUACUCAUUUGGGAAAAACGUGAGGUACUAUGUUAUAUUAAAGUGGUUGUAAAUUCCUUAAAUUCCAGAAUAAAUGUGACCCAUCUAUUUUAUUUUGCUUGAAUGGGGAUUAAUUCUUUGUGUUUGGAUGUCACAGAGUUUCAGAAGACCAGAUAAAUAGAAUAGGAAUGGAUAUUCUUUGAUAGUUGAGAAGACACAAUGUUUUUGUAGAGGAUUAACUGGCUGAUGAUA